rnacentral:rRNA from 1 species
GAUGAACGCUGGCGGCGUGCCUAAUACAUGCAAGUCGAGCGAACAGACGAGGAGCUUGCUCCUUUGACGUUAGCGGCGGACGGGUGAGUAACACGUGGAUAACCUACCUAUAAGACUGGGAUAACUUCGGGAAACCGGAGCUAAUACCGGAUAACAUGUUGAACCGCAUGGUUCAACAGUGAAAGACGGUCUUGCUGUCACUUAUAGAUGGAUCCGCGCCGCAUUAGCUAGUUGGUAAGGUAACGGCUUACCAAGGCAACGAUGCGUAGCCGACCUGAGAGGGUGAUCGGCCACACUGGAACUGGGACACGGUCCAGACUCCUACGGGAGGCAGCAGUAGGCAAUCUUCCGCAAUGGGCGAAAGCCUGACGGAGCAACGCCGCGUGAGUGAAGAAGGUCUUCGGAUCGUAAAACUCUGUUAUUAGUGAAGAACAAAUGUGUAAGUAACUAUGCACGUCUUGACGGUACCUAAUCAGAAAGCCACGGCUAACUACGUG